rnacentral:rRNA from 1 species
CCGGGCGACCGGAUGCGGAUCUCGAAAGCCUGUCCCAGUUCGGACUGGAGUCUGCAACCCGACUCCACGAAGUUGGAUUCGCUAGUAAUCGCGCAUCAGCCAUGGCGCGGUGAAUACGUUCCCGGGCCUUGUACACACCGCCCGUCAAGCCAUGGGAGGCCGGGGGGCGCCUGAAGUCCGGGACCGCGAGGACCGGCCUAGGGCGAAACUGGUAACUGGGGCUAAGUCGUAACAAGGUAUC